rnacentral:rRNA from 1 species
UACGGGGGGGGCAAGCGUUGUUCGGAAUUACUGGGCGUAAAGGGCUCGUAGGCGGCCAACUAAGUCGGAUGUGAAAUCCCCAGGCUCAACCUGGGAACUGCAUCCGAUACUGGAUGGCUUGAAUCCGGGAGAGGGAUGCAGAAUUCCAGGUGUAGCGGUGAAAUGCGUAGAUAUCAGGAAGAACACCCGUGGCGAAGGCGGCUCUCUGGUACGUGACUGACGCUGAGACGCGAAAGCGUGGGGAGCAAACAGG